rnacentral:lncRNA from 7 species
AAUUAUCUUGUGCACUGUGAGGCCUAGAUCAUUUAAAAAGGCCUAAGCUCAGCCUCUGAUUUUGCGGGUGCAAUUCACUGUGCGCAACAUACUUAGCUACAUAAUUAGUUUUGCAAAAGAGGCCUUCAGUUAUGCCCAGUGUAAUUAUAAUUGCAGAUGUAAAUUUGCAUCUGCCAAAGAUGAGGAGGCUUUUAAAACUGAAAACUUCCUGUCAACCGGUUGUGAGCUUUUCUUCCUUCAUCAUUUGCUACGUGUAUGUUCAUAGCCAAUUAUUGCAAGCAAAGGAAAUAUUUUGUAAAUACCAGUUGAUGUGGAGUCAGAAUAGAAAUAAAUAUCUAGGAUGUGAGGUGAACUCUCCACUGCACAGCUGUUGUGUAAGUACUGUGACCAGUGAGAAACCAUUUUGACUCAGAUAUCAGUUCUGUAACAUCAGUAAGAAAAAAGUAGCACACCUGCUUUUCCAAAUGUAACGCAUGGAAAGAAGAAUCUCACCCCACAUCCAAAGUUGUAGGAAACACAAUGCUGAGGGCCUGCUAUGCUUUGAGAUGACUGCGAUUUGGUAGAUACUUGGGCUCCUACGUGUGGAUUUAAGAGCAUGAUUUUAAGCUUUAAAAACUUGGGACAAUUUCAUCUGCUGGUGCCAAAUAUUACUUCCUUUAACAGGAUCAUUUACAGGAUGACCUGAACAAGUCCUCGCCACAUCCAACCCUGGAACCGGGAAGUAAAAGCAUGCUGAAGUCUUCUGCCUCACUCAGAACCAAAAAUAAAUCAUAGGACAUCCAUCAGCUCUGAAUAACUUAAGAGUAAACAACUAUUACGUGUGCCAGAAUGAGCAGACUGUAUAAAGACGGACGAAUAUAUCCUGAAGCGUUUGUCUGUUGACUCUCCUGAACCCUUUAAUCAGAGAGCUUUGGCUUUCCUUUAACACUGAGAAACCAAACAGCACUGUGAACUCUUAACCUGUAAGAGGACAUCCACCGAUUGUAUUUUUGUUAGAGAAAAAAUUAUAGAAUUGCCUAAAAAAGGUGAGAUCAAAGCUGUGAAGCCUGUCGAGGAGCCGGGCACAAAAGCUGUGCUCUGCAAAAUGCAACAAGUGGAAGAAAGCUGUGGAUUUCUAUGCUUUUCUGUCAGAAUUCAGUAAGAGUUUUACUACGUGCUCCUUUCUGACAGAGUUGAAAUUUUCAGAAGCCCAGCAGACGUGCCGACAUUUUCUACCACCACUACUCUUUAGAACCAUGGAAGCUUGGAAACUUACUACUUCACAUCAAAGGAUUUUAUCAUUUCUACAGCACUAACAGAACACAGUUCCGAUUCAUAGCACAAGAAGUGCUUAUGUCCUCUGAAGACAAAAUGAAAAAACACCAUUUUACUUCUUGUGAUGUCAGUGCAGUGAUAGGUGAAGGUGAGUUCCUCCAUGUCCAAACGAGACAAGGUGAGGUCCUUUGGGGCCAGACAUUGCUGUGAGAGUGCUGGAGGAGCCAUUGCAGCAGGAGGGCCCCUCCUGGGAGCAGGACCAGAGUUUACAUGAGUGUGUGGCUUUGGUGGAAGUGACUUCAAGGCAGCAGACUUUCUCAUGCUUGCCAUCUGCUUGGUCUGAUCGCAGCCUUGGAAAUAACUUUUUAAGAACAAUGUAUGCCUUCUAAUUCCUGAAGCUUCUGACCCUUCCCUUCCAAAAUACCUGCCUUCUAAAGGUGGAAGUUUGCUGUGGUAACUCCUAGAUUGCUAAGAGCUCUGCAGCAUGAAGCAUGGCUUGCUUUUAUAUGUCCAAACUGGAGUUUCCAUUACUGGAAUUUGUUAUUCUGUUUUUAUUACAUUAAAACAUAAUAAGGAACAAUAUGAGCAAUGCAAAGUUUAUCUGAAUAAUUACUGUAUUCUGGUAAAACUUGAAUUUAGUGUAGAAGUGAGGUCUACUUAAAGUACAUUCUAAAAGUGGAUUUAUAUUUCAUGCUGAUAUUGUGAGAAAGGGUAGUGUAACAUCAUGUCUGUUUAUAAUUUGCAUGAAAAGUGGAAAAUGCUUCUUCAGCCACUAAUAAAUCUAAUUCAGUUUGUGCAAAUAAAAGAUGGCAAUUGAAACAACGAUUACUACCUUCCCAUAAGUAACUGUUCUGCUAAUUGCCUAUUAAGAUACACGUAAGGAGCAGUCGUAAUUGAAGUGUGACAGCUGAAGAAUGCAUUAUGGAGUUGUAGGAAGCUUCUUAGCAUUAACUAAGGAAGCAUUUUGAAAAAGAUGGUGCAUUAAUACAUGCCAUGAAAGGAAAAGAGAUUGUGAGGAUGAAGAGUUGGAAAGAGAAACAGCACCCCAAGGGUAACUG